rnacentral:rRNA from 1 species
CCUACGGGAGGCAGCAGUGAGGAAUAUUGGUCAAUGGACGAGAGUCUGAACCAGCCAAGUAGCGUGAAGGAUGACUGCCCUAUGGGUUGUAAACUUCUUUUAUAUGGGAAUAAAAUGUUCCACGUGUGGGAUUUUGUAUGUACCAUAUGAAUAAGGAUCGGCUAACUCCGUGCCAGCAGCCGCGGUAAUACGGAGGGUCCGAGCGUUAUCCGGAUUUAUUGGGUUUAAAGGGAGCGUAGGUGGAUUGUUAAGUCAGUUGUGAAAGUUUGCGGCUCAACCGUAAAAUUGCAGUUGAAACUGGCAGUCUUGAGUACAGUAGAGGUGGGCGGAAUUCGUGGUGUAGCGGUGAAAUGCUUAGAUAUCACGAAGAACUCCGAGUGCGAAGGCAGUUCACUGGACUGCAACUGACACUGAGGCUCGAAAGUGUGGGUAUCAAACAGGAUUAGAUACCCUAGUAGUC